rnacentral:rRNA from 1 species
UACAGAGGUCUCAAGCGUUGUUCGGAUUCAUUGGGCGUAAAGGGUGCGUAGGCGGCCUGGUAAGUCUGGCGUGAAAGCCCAGGGCUCAGCCCUGGAAGGGCGCUAGAAACUGCGAGGCUGGAGUGCCGGAGGGGAGAGUGGAAUUCCUGGUGUAGCGGUGAAAUGCGUAGAUAUCAGGAGGAACACCGAAGGCGAAGGCAGUGUCCUGGCGAGUGACUGACGCUGAGGUGCGAAAGCCAGGGGAGCGAACGGG